CCAACUAGUGCAUGCCGACAUAUGUGGUUCAAUGCAAAUGUUAUCUCACAACAAAAGUAGUUCUCAUCUUUUUGUUGAUGAUUUCAAUAGAGGACCUGCAAGAACAUGGAACAGGAACACAAAGCUCCCUCAUCUGAUACGAAGCUCCAGAAGACCGGUGAGUAUUUUCUCUCUGUACAAGGUCAAAAUGAGAAGCUGAAGGUAAAUUCAUUUACCAACUUUGGUUCUGUAUUUUAUAGCACAGUGACCAGUUUAGGACCCUCUUGAUAUUUGACAAAAUGAAGAUUGCAUGUGGCAAAAUAACUGGAUUCCUAGCUAGAAGGAAAAAUCUUGACUAGAGGGGUUUUUAUAGGAUUGAUCGAACAUUGUGAUUUGCAAUGACAAGAGAACCAUGACGAUGAAUCAAUAAAAAUUGGAAUAGUAGGCUAUAUCAAGUGAUAUUUGUCGCAUUAUUGAAUGUGCUUGUGAAGCUGAAUACAAGGUUGUGGAUUCAUUUGAUUGAUGGGGUUUUGAACCAAUAUGAGUGUAAAGGCAUCGGGGUUCAACAACAUCCAAUUUGAUUGGGCUCAUGGCUCAGCCCAUGCUCACACUACCAUAUUCUAAGAUUGUGAGGCCUCAAAAAAGCUUUAGGAAACCUACAUGUCCUGUGUGUCUUUUUCAGGGUGAACUAUUUUUUCUUAAGGAUUUUUUAUUAUAUGUAUUUGUAAUGCUAAAUUACAAUUUAGUGUAACACUUUGGUGUAGU